GCUGACGGUUGUGAGGGAGUAAGCAGGAAAGAAAGGGGCGUGUCAACAGAGAGGGGCAGAGUGGUCCAAUCGGGAAGAAUCACGUGUAGAUGACGUAGGUAAGCAGAGAAGCGAUUGGUGGGCCUCGAGAAAGGAAUGCGCUCUGGGAGACAUUCCUGUACCAGUCACGGCGUCACGUGGUGAUGUAGAACGCUCUGGGAGACAUUCCUGUAUUAGUCACGGCGUCACGUGAUGAUGGAGGAAUGCGCUCUGGGAGACAUUCCUGUACCAGUCACGGCGUCACGUGGUGAUGUAGAACGCUCUGGGAGACAUUCCUGUAUUAGUCACGACGUCACGUGAUGAUGUAGAAGCGCGUGCGCGUGUCGGAGAGUUCAGUUCAGUUCAGUUCAGUUCAGUGGUUGCGAGUUGAGAGUUGGGAGGAGAGAGAGAGAGGGAGAGGGAGAAGAACAGUGAUCGGAGAGUGCGAGUUAGCAGUCGGAAUCAAACAAAGAGUGUAGACGCCAGCGGUUAAACAGCGGAGUUAGUAGUGAAACAGUUGAGAGUUGCGAGUGGAGGGAGAGAGACAGUUCUUCACAGUUCUUCAUAGUUCUUCACAGUUAGAGACUCGCCAGUUGAGAGCGCGCGUGGGAGAGAGAGAGCGAGUAACGGUGACGCCGCGCUUAUUGUACGUAUAUCCGAGCAUCGGUUCUCGGCCUGUGAGUGAACUACAUAAGUGGUGAGUAUGGGUGUCACACCGCAAUAAACAGUCGGGUUUGUCCCGUCAUAUUGUCACUCUA